rnacentral:rRNA from 1 species
UACGUAGGGUGCAAGCGUUGUCCGGAAUUAUUGGGCGUAAAGAGCUCGUAGGCGGUCUGUCGCGUCGGCUGUGAAAACCCGGGGCUCAACCCCGGGCCUGCAGUCGAUACGGGCAGACUAGAGUGCGGUAGGGGAGACUGGAAUUCCUGGUGUAGCGGUGAAAUGCGCAGAUAUCAGGAGGAACACCGAUGGCGAAGGCAGGUCUCUGGGCAUUAACUGACGCUGAGGAGCGAAAGCAUGGGGAGCGAACAGG